rnacentral:lncRNA from 1 species
CAUCACAUCAAGCAAAGUCAUGCAUAUUGCUAUCAAUCAGGCAACAAGAGUCUUUUCUUGGAAUUCUCAUGAUUCAUGAGAAUUCCAAGUAAUUGAACAUUCUACGUGACACCUUUUUGUACCUAAAGUCAUUGGACAUUCUACGUGCUUCAACAAGGCAUCAACAUUGGAUAGCGACCAUACAAAUAAGAUCUAUGCAAGAUUUGCAGCCGACGAAAUAGAAGUCAGCACAAUAAUAAGAACCAUGAUAAGCAAACCUGAUCCUC